rnacentral:rRNA from 1 species
GUAACGGCGAGUGAAGCGGUAACAGCUCAAAUUUGAAAUCUGGCUCCGUCGGAGUCCGAGUUGUAAUUUGUAGAAGAUGCUUUGGGUGGCAGAUUCAGCCUAAGUUCCUUGGAACAGGACGUCAUAGAGGGUGAGAAUCCCGUAUGCGGCCGAGGUUUGCGCCCGUGUAAAGCUCUUUCGACGAGUCGAGUUGUUUGGGAAUGCAGCUCAAAAUGGGUGGUAAAUUUCAUCUAAAGCUAAAUAUAGGCCAGAGACCGAUAGCGCACAAGUAGAGUGAUCGAAAGAUGAAAAGCACUUUGGAAAGAGAGUUAAACAGUACGUGAAAUUGUUGAAAGGGAAGCGCUUGCAACCAGACUUGGGCACUGUUGAUCAUCCAGGGUUUUCUCUGGUGCACUCGACAGCGCACAGGCUAGCAUCGGUUCGGGUGGCUGGAUAAAGGCCGUAGGAACGUAGCUCCUCUCGGGGAGUGUUAUAGCUUACGGUGCCAUGCAGCCCAGCCGGACCGAGGACCGCGCCUUCGGGCUAGGAUGCUGGCGUAAUGGUUGUAAGCGACCCGUCUUGAAACACGGACCAAGGAGUCUAACAUCUAUGCGAGUGUUUGGGCGUGAAACCCAUACGCGGAAUGAAAGUGAACGUAGGUGAGAACCCCUUUGGGGUGCAUCAUCGACCGAUCCUGAUGUCUUCGGAUGGAUUUGAGUAAGAGCAUAGC